CAGUAGCCGCGGUAAUACGUAGGUCCCGAGCGUUGUCCGGAUUUAUUGGGCGUAAAGCGAGCGCAGGCGGUUAGAUAAGUCUGAAGUUAAAGGCUGUGGCUUAACCAUAGUACGCUUUGGAAACUGUUUAACUUGAGUGCAAGAGGGGAGAGUGGAAUUCCAUGUGUAGCGGUGAAAUGCGUAGAUAUAUGGAGGAACACCGGUGGCGAAAGCGGCUCUCUGGCUUGUAACUGACGCUGAGGCUCGAAAGCGUGGGGCGCAAACAGGAUUAGAUACCCCUGUAGUCCCUGUCUCUUAUACA
rnacentral:rRNA from 1 species